rnacentral:rRNA from 1 species
AUUGAACGCUGGCGGCAUGCCUUACACAUGCAAGUCGAACGGCAGCACGGGAGCAAUCCUGGUGGCGAGUGGCGAACGGGUGAGUAAAGUAUCGGAACGUGCCCAGUCGUGGGGGAUAACGUACCGAAAGCUACGCUAAUACCGCAUCCGAUCUAUGGAUGAAAGCGGGGGAUCGCAAGACCUAGCGCGAAUGGAUGGGACGAUAUCAGAUUAGGUAGUUGGUGGGGUAAAGGCCUACCAAGCCGACGAUCUGUAGCUGGUCUGAGAGGACGACCAGCCACACUGGGACUGAGACACGGCCCAGACUCCAACGGGAGGAAGCAGUGGGGAAUUUUGGACAAUGGGGGCAAGCCUGAUCCAGCAAUGCCGCGUGCAGGAUGAAGGCCUUCGGGUUGUAAACUGCUUUUGUACGGAGCGAAACGGCUUCCACUAAUACUGGGGGCUAAUGACGGUACCGUAAGAAUAAGCACCGGCUAACUACGUGCCAGCAGCCGCGGUAA